rnacentral:piRNA from 1 species
GUAUAGAUCAGACUCGCCUUGAAC